CCGUGAGUCUUCGGACGAGCGGAUAAUGUCCCUAAACCGGUUUCCUAGAAAAUCUUCUAAGCUUCAGAUAUAUGUUACCCGUACCGCAAACCGACACAGGUAGUCAAGGAGAGAAUCCUAAGGUGCUCGAGUGAAUCAUGGCUAAGGAACUCGGCAAAAUAGUCCUGUAACUUCGGGAGAAAGGACGCCCCGAGCAAUCGGGGCCGCAGUGAAUAGGCCCAGGCGACUGUUUAUCAAAAACACAGGGCUUUGCCAAAUCGAAAGAUGAUGUAUAAGGCCUGACACCUGCCCGGUGCUGGAAGGUUAAGAGGGGGGGUUAUCCUUUAGGGGAGAAGCUCUGAAUCGAAGCCCCAGUAAACGGCGGCCGUAACAAUAACGGUCCUAAGGUAGCGAAAUUCCUUGUCGGGUAAGUUCCGACCUGCACGAAUGGUGUAACGAUCUGGGCACUGUCUCAGCCAUGAGCUCGGUGAAAUUGUAGUUCCUGUGAAGAUGCCGGAUACCCGCAACGGGACGGAAAGACCCCGUGAACCUUUACUAUAGCUUAACAUUGAUUUUGGGUAAGUAAUGUGUAGGAUAGGUGGGAGACUACGAAGCGACUUCGCUAGGAGUCGUGGAGUCAACCUUGAAAUACCACCCUUUAUUUGCUUGGAAUCUAACUCUGCAAAGAGGACAGUGUUUGGUGGGUAGUUUGACUGGGGUGGUCGCCUCCAAAAGUGUAACGGAGGCUUCUAAAGGUACCCUCAGCAUGAUUGGUAACCAUGCGUAGAGUGCAAUGGCACAAGGGUGCUUGACUGUGAGACUGACAAGUCGAUCAGGUAGGAAACUAGAGCAUAGUGAUCCGGUGGUUCCGCAUGGAAGGGCCAUCGUUCAAAGGAUAAAAGGUACUCCGGGGAUAACAGGCUUAUCGCUCCCAAGAGCUCAUAUCGACGGAGCGGUUUGGCACCUCGAUGUCGGCUCGUCACAUCCUGGGGCUGGAGAAGGUCCCAAGGGUUGGGCUGUUCGCCCAUUAAAGUGGCACGCGAGCUGGGUUCAGAACGUCGUGAGACAGUUCGGUCCCUAUCUGUUGUGGGCGUUGGAAAUUUGAGAGGCCCUGCUUCUAGUACGAGAGGACCGGAGCGGACAAACCUCUGGUGUAUCUGUUGUGGCGCCAGCUGCAUUGCAGAGUAGCCACGUUUGGAAGAGAUAAGCGCUGAAAGCAUCUAAGCGCGAAGCUUUCCUC
rnacentral:rRNA from 1 species